AAGGAGACUAACAUAUAUGCGAGUGUGCGAGUGGAGAAACUCAUACGCGGAAUGAAAGUAAAAGGUGCGCAGCGCAGGCAACAGCAUCGACCGACCUAGUAAAAAAGGUUUGAGUGAGAGCAUAUCUGUUAGGACCCGAAAGAUGGUGAACUAUGCCUGAGUAGGGUGAAGUCAGGGGAAACCCUGAUGGAGGCUCGUAGCGUUGUUGACGUGCAAAUCACUCGUCAAACUUGGGUAUAGGGGCGAAAGACUAGUCGAACCAUCUAGUAGCUGGUUCCCUC
rnacentral:misc_RNA from 1 species